UGCUUAUAAAUAUAUACCAGUAACCUAAGCUUUUCCGGCUUCAACUACUCCUGCAUUUUGGAGGAGCGUUAAACGACCUGGAUGCCCUGGUUGUUCUAAAAAGAAACUUAGAAAUGCUGGUUCACCGCUAAAGGUUCUACGGAGAUGGGUUCAACAUUGUAUAACAUUUUAUUCAACUAUAGGCUUAGAUUUUGAGGUCUUUUAUUUUCAUUGACUAAACAUAAGACGUCCUUAAAGUAGUUUUUUUAAUACAGUAACGACACCUACCAAUAUUCCUUUCAAAUAAUUUGAUUUUGUUCGGAAGAUUGAUCAAACACGUGUGGCAGGCCUGCCUCCUGCAAUGUAUUGAUUAUGUAAUACAUUUAAAAAGGAAAUGACUGAACUAAAAUAAUAAUGUCGCAGUGAAACAUAUUUCCAUUGCUAUGGGGUUGAUUUAAUCGAUCAGAACCAGGCGCGUACGCAAGGGGGGGGGGGGUGGGGGUGGGG